CAGAGUAUAGCUUAACCUAAAGCAUUUCGCUUACACCGAAGUUAUAUUUGUGAAAAUCAAACUACCCUGA
rnacentral:tRNA from 1 species